GGAACCCCCCUCCGGGGAAAGACUUCCUUCAGUGGGGCUUUGGUGCUCACUGAGUCUGCCCCCUGGGUGUGUCCCU
rnacentral:pre_miRNA from 1 species